UCCCUCUCCCAAUAACCCCUAACUUCUCUAUCUCUACCAUCUCUUCUGUAAUUGUUACAUUCCCUUUUCUUCUUAUUGUUACCCGCCUCGUCCCAAUUACGAGUACGUUUCCUAUUCAUAAACCUAUCUCCCUCCCUAGAAUUAUUAACAUGCCCUCUACCUGAAAGGUUACUCCUUUCACUCUGAUAACUACAAACCCUAGCUCUCUUCCUAUCCUUGUCUCCUUCCUCUUUCGAGAAUUCGUCUCUCUUACCGCCAUUCUUUUGCAACCCAUUCUCCUUCACUGUCUCCUUAGCAAUAACCUGAGGAGUUACAGUAACCUCGUUGAUUUGAGAAUUGGUAUCAGAAACGCCAUUGUUUGGUAAGCCUCCACCGUUCUUGAUACUAUCUAAAAUGUGAUCAAUCCCACCGAAAAAAUCAUUGAUGACGCCGUUUUCAUCAGUGGAUUCAUUGACAGCAACAGAGGAAGGAUCAAAUUCAGACACGAGAUCAUCGAUAAGAUCACAAGAGAUGUCCUCGCAAGCAUCUAGCCAAUAAGAAGGCUUUAUUGUGGCUUCUCUAGGCUCAUCCUCCAUUACCAUAAUUCUAUAUAAUAAUCAAAUCAAGAACAUAAGAAAGAGGAGAAAAACUCACUCAAGAAAACCAAAUCCCCAGAGAAGAAAACAGAACCAAAAGCACGAGAAUUGAAUAAACCCAGAAAAAGGGGUGAGAGAAGAAGAGUGUUUUGUGACAGAUUAGGGUUAGAUAGACCGUACGAAACACGCCAAUUUUGAAGUUGUUGUUUGCAG